AGGAGGGAAUUCUCAAAUGCCUUCAUCAUUCACGAUUUUAACAAAAAAGUGGCGGGAUCCGGCUGUGAUUCGGGUCACCCAAUAUUAAAAAACGGAUCCUAUAUAUCAUCUUUACCAGACCACCAUAUCUCAUAACCUCACUUUUCACAAACCCUACAUACCAUUUCCUAAAUCUGCUUCUUCGUUUUUCAGAGAUUCAUCGUCCUUAGGUAUGUUAUUAUGCCAUUCCUUCUUUGUUUUCGUAUUGUUAAUCUAAUACAUCUUUGAUUUUUUUCGAUUUCAUCAACUAUCUUACAUAUUCAGAUGAGAUUCAUAAGGACGACAAUGUUUUGAUGCUUUCUUCAUCUUCAUGUAAAUGCUAUUUGUUUCAUGUUUCCAGAUUUGAAGAGAUCGAUUUGUUUGCUGUUUAAUAAUGAUUUACGAUGUGUUUUGUCAUAUCUAGGGUUUGCUUGUGGUCUUUCGUAUCCGUCAAAACCCUAAUCGACCGGAGAAAUCGUCAAAAGUUCUUCACAAUAUGAUCGUUCCACAUAAUUUGCAGAUAUGCAUCCCUUGCACAACAGUCCUUCAUUUUUAAAGCUUAUUGAUGAAGAUGACCCGAUAUUUUUGGU